CCGAUGAGGUGGAAACGGACAGAGCUGGCGUAUCUGGCCUGCAUUCAGCCGCCGCGCGUCGGGCCCCGGUUUGCCGCACUCCAGAUUGGGAAGGUGGCUGGGCUGCUGGCGUGUCGGUGGUGCAUUUGCAGGUGGAGUGCGCCGAGGCGUUCGGCUCAGCGGCAUGAGCUCGGCUUUGAGGCCAGUCGCGCAAGCGGUCUGGUACCCGGGUCGGGGGAGUGUUGUUUGGGCUGAGUGUUCGCUUGGGCACUGGUUUCGAGCCCGGGUGGGUGCCGAGCUGGCGGUGGGCGGCGGUCGCGUGCGACACGUGUCUUCAGUCAGUUCGGUCCUGCUCGAGCUCUCGCGUGUCCGGCCUCGGUGUAAAAGCCGGUCAUCUGUCCGACCCGUCUUGAAACACGGACCAAGGAGUUUAGCGUGUGCGCGAGUCAUUGGGCGUUGAAAACCCAAAGGCGCAAUGAAAGUGAAGGUCUGCCUUGUGCAGCUGAUGUGUGAUCCUGGGCGCUGCGGUGCCCGGGCGCAACAUAGUCCCGUCCCGACUGCAUGCAGUGGGGCGGAGACAGAGCGUACGCGCUGAG
rnacentral:rRNA from 1 species